rnacentral:rRNA from 1 species
UACGAAGGGGGCUAGCGUUGCUCGGAAUCACUGGGCGUAAAGCGCACGUAGGCGGCUUUUUAAGUCAGGGGUGAAAUCCUGGAGCUCAACUCCAGAACUGCCUUUGAUACUGAGAAGCUUGAGUCCGGGAGAGGUGAGUGGAACUGCGAGUGUAGCGGUGAAAUGCGCAGAUAUCGGGAGGAACACCGAGGCGAAGGCAGCACUCUGGGCCGGCACUGACGCUGAGGAGCGAAAGCGUGGGGAGCGAACAGG